AUAUGAUCAGCUGAUGGGGUUCUAGGUUCUGCUCACAGUGGCUGCUGUUGGGUCAGAUUUAGUUUGGAAGUACCCGUUCUGGGACUCGUCACCCUCAGCACCGCUCUCCAACAGAUAAGCCGCUGCUGGUGUGUGUUUUAGAUUUUGGAAUAUUAUUGUUUGCUCUCAAAACCUUACGAACAAAUGACUGCGGAGCUGCGCCGAGAGUGGCUCAAAUGUCCUUUUAGAGGAGCGAGCACGCUGAUGCGUUUCCGUGGAGAAUUCCCCCGGAGGAGAUUCCAUUCAGACGGGCUCCUGAGGGGUUUAAUGGCCCAAAUGCAGCCGCUCGGCCCUGACGUUCCCUCACGGACGCCGGAGUCACUGCAACCGGGAAGACAGCGUGUGUUUGCGCGUGUUUACGCACACAUCAUUAGCGAUUAUCACGAGGAUGCCUCCUAGCCUGACUGCAGAAAAAGAAACGUCUUCACCCGGCUUCCCCCCUGUUAACGCAGGGUGUUUGAAUUAAACACAUCCUUCACAGGUCGUCUCAUUGUCUGACGCCACGCAGCAGCAGCGGCAGCAGUUUCCUCCUCUACGUCAGCAUAUCACUCCACUCGCCCUCCGUCCUCUUGAGGGACCUGAGCUGACGUGGACCUGCAGCUGUCACCAUGGAUUACACCCCGGACGGCUCACCGGCCCAUCACAUCAAAGCUGAAGCACGCUGCUGCCGUGCGCCUGCACCAGCACCUGCCCAUUAACUGCACUGGCUAAAUGAUAAAGUGAUUGUGAUCUGCGGGCUGUAAACUUUAAAGCUCUGUCCACACCAGCGCAGUUGGUCCAGUUAAUCAAAAGGUUUACGGACCUGCAGCUCUGUGUGUGUGUGUGUGUGUGUGUGUGU